GCCUUCGGGCUGGCCCGAGUUGGUGGGUCCCACACCACCCCCGGGCCUGGGCUGUACGCUGGAGCGACUUUUUUUUUUUUUUCCUGCCCUCGCCUCGGGCUGGGCUCCCUCGCUGGAGCUGCUCUAAUGGAUAUGAGUUCACUGGCUGCUGCUAUGAAGAAAAGACAAAGGCCCUUCUUUGGCAAUGGAGACUCGUUGCCCUUGGAAUGUAACAUGAGGCAAGAAGCAAUGAUGAGCAAUAUUGGAUGAAUUCAAGCUUUUCCUUUAGAAAUGGAAACCCUCUUUUUUUUUUUUUUUUUUUCUUUCCAUUUCAUUAAAAAUUUAUUCUCUGCUUAGCUAAUAUGAAAUGUACCAUCCUUUGUAAAUUUGUACCAUCAGCGGUCUGUAUAUUCGUAAAUCAGAUUGUUUCCAUGUGCAUGGACCUUUAUUUUUAUACAUGUCGAUUUGCCUGCCUUCUAGCCUUUUAGACACUGGCCCCGGCAUGAAAC
rnacentral:lncRNA from 1 species